rnacentral:rRNA from 1 species
AUGAACGCUAGCGGCAGGCUUAACACAUGCAAGUCGAGGGGCAGCGAGAUGUAGCAAUACAUUGUCGGCGACCGGCGCACGGGUGCGUAACGCGUAUGCAACUACCAUAUACAGGAGGAUAACCAUUCGAAAGAAUGACUAAUACUCAUAGUAUUAUUUUGAGGCAUCUUAGAAUAAUUAAAGAAUUUCGGUAUAUGCUGGGCAUGCGUGACAUUAGCUAGUUGGAGAGGUAACGGCUCACCAAGGCUACGAUGUCUAGGGGUUUUGAGAGGAAGAUCCCCACACUGGUACUGAGACACGGACCAGACUCCUACGGGAGGCAGCAGUGAGGAAUAUUGGUCAAUGGACGGAAGUCUGAACCAGCCAUGCCGCGUGAAGGAAAGACUGCCCUAUGGGUUGUAAACUUCUUUUAUACGGGGAUAAACCUAUCUUUGCGAAGAUAGCUGAAGGUACCGUAUGAAUAAGCAUCGGCUAACUCCGUGCCAGCAGCUGC